AGACCCGAAACCCGGUGAUCUAGCCAUGGGCAGGUUGAAGGUUGGGUAACACUAACUGGAGGACCGAACCGACUAAUGUUGAAAAAUUAGCGGAUGACCUGUGGCUGGGGGUGAAAGGCCAAUCAAACCGGGAGAUAGCUGGUUCUCCCCGAAAGCUAUUUAGGUAGCGCCUCGUGAACUCAUCUCCGGGGGUAGAGCACUGUUUCGGCUAGGGGGCCAUCCCGGCUUACCAACCCGAUGCAAACUGCGAAUACCGGAGAAUGUUAUCACGGGAGACACACGGCGGGUGCUAACGUCCGUCGUGAAGAGGGAAACAACCCAGACCGCCAGCUAAGGUCCCAAAGUCAUGGUUAAGUGGGAAACGAUGUGGGAAGGCCCAGACAGCCAGGAUGUUGGCUUAGAAGCAGCCAUCAUUUAAAGAAAGCGUAAUAGCUCACUGGUCGAGUCGGCCUGCGCGGAAGAUGUAACGGGGCUAAACCAUGCAC
rnacentral:rRNA from 5 species